GACGAACGCUGGCGGCGCGCCUAACACAUGCAAGUCGAGCGAUGAAAUUUUAACCGAUCUCUUCGGAGAGAAGAUAAAAUGGAUUAGCGGCGGACGGGUGAGUAACACGUGAGAAACCUGCCUUUCACAAGGGGAUAGCCUCGGGAAACCGGGAUUAAUACCCUAUGACACAUUUCCUUCGCAUGGAAGAAAUGUUAAAACUCCGGUGGUGAAAGAUGGUUUCGCGCCUGAUUAGCUAGUUGGUGGGGUAACGGCCCACCAAGGCCAUGAUCAGUAACCGGCCUGAGAGGGUGAACGGUCACAUUGGAACUGAGACACGGUCCAAACUCCUACGGGAGGCAGCAGUGGGGAAUAUUGCACAAUGGAGGAAACUCUGAUGCAGCGACGCCGCGUGAGCGAUGAAGGCUUUCGAGUCGUAAAGCUCUGUCCUAUGGGAAGAUAAUGACGGUACCAUAGGAGGAAGCCCCGGCUAACUACGUG
rnacentral:rRNA from 1 species